rnacentral:sRNA from 1 species
UUAUUGAAUAAACUUGAACAGGUUGUUGCUGACUCCCAGUAGGGGGUAAGUGCACGCUUGUCAUCUUUAUUUCUCCAACUGUGCACACACUGUAGACUUGAAAGAGGAUUGCUGUGCUUUGUGAAACAGAGUCAGCUUUGCCUUGCAUAUUUUUAGGUCUAUGUUAUUUCACAAUCUCUGAAAUGUAUUGGAAUGUGUGGAAUAUAUGAAUAUAUAUAUACAACUUUCAGCAAUGGAUCUCUUGGCUCUCGCAUCGAUGAAGAACGCAGCGAAAUGCGAUAAGUAAUGUGAAUUGCAGAAUUCAGUGAAUCAUCGAAUCUUUGAACGCAUCUUGCGCUCCUUGGUAUUCCGAGGAGCAUGCCUGUUUGAGUGUCAUCAAGUUCCUCAAACCACAUCUUGUGGUGUGGCUUUGGAUAUGGGAGUUUUUUUUUGCAGGCUUUUUAAAAAUAAAGCCGGCUCUCCUGAAAUGAAUUAGUGGUAUCUGAGCAGUGGAACUACUAUGGGGUGUGAUAAGUUAUCUAUGCCCUUUGUAAUGCUGUAUGAAUGGAUCACACUGCUUCCAACAGAAAACAUGUUUGAUGAAUUUGACCUCAAAUCAGGUAGGACUACCCGCUGAACUUAAGCAUAUCAAUAAGCGGAGGAAAGAAACUAACAAGGAUU